GGCUGGUCCGAGUGCAGUGGUGCUUACAAUUAAUUGAUCACACCCAGUUACAGAUUUCUUUGUUCCUAAUUUUCCAUUUAAUUUUUUGGCUGCCUGCU
rnacentral:Y_RNA from 1 species